CUACGGGUGGCUGCAGUGGGGAAUCUUAGACAAUGGGGGAAACCCUGAUCCAGCCAUGCCGCGUGGGUGAAGAAGGCCUUAGGGUUGUAAAUCCCUUUCAGCUGGGAAGAUAAUGACGGUACCAGCAGAAGAAGCCCCGGCUAACUCCGUGCCAGCAGCCGCGGUAAUACGGAGGGGGCUAGCGUUGUUCGGAAUUACUGGGCGUAAAGCGCACGUAGGCGGGCUGUUAAGUCAGAGGUGAAAUCCCGGGGCUCAACCUCGGAAUUGCCUUUGAUACUGGCAGCCUUGAGUUCGAGAGAGGUGAGUGGAAUUCCGAGUGUAGAGGUGAAAUUCGUAGAUAUUCGGAGGAACACCAGUGGCGAAGGCGGCUCACUGGCUCGAUACUGACGCUGAGGUGCGAAAGCGUGGGGAGCAAACAGGAUUAGAUACCCCUGUAGUC
rnacentral:rRNA from 1 species